CGUGGGUAACCUGCCCAUCAGAGGGGGAUAACAUUCGGAAACGGAUGCUAAAACCGCAUAGGUCUUCGAACCGCAUGGUUUGAAGAGGAAAAGAGGCGCAAGCUUCUGCUGAUGGAUGGACCCGCGGUGCAUUAGCUAGUUGGUGAGGUAACGGCUCACCAAGGCUGUGAUGCAUAGCCGACCUGAGAGGGUGAUCGGCCACAUUGGGACUGAGACACGGCCCAA
rnacentral:rRNA from 1 species